rnacentral:tRNA from 1 species
GUUUCCGUAGUGUAGCGGUUAUCACGUUCGCCUAACACGCGAAAGUCCCCGGUUCGAGCCCGGGCGGAAACA